rnacentral:rRNA from 1 species
AGAACGAACGCUGGCGGCAUGCCUAAUACAUGCAAGUCGGACGAAGGCUUCGGCCUUAGUGGCGCACGGGUGCGUAACGCGUGGGAAUCUGCCCCUUGGUUCGGAAUAACAGUUGGAAACGACUGCUAAUACCGGAUGAUGACGAAAGUCCAAAGAUUUAUCGCCAAGGGAUGAGCCCGCGUAGGAUUAGCUAGUUGGUGAGGUAAAGGCUCGCCAAGGCGACGAUCCUUAGCUGGUCUGAGAGGAUGAUCAGCCACACUGGGACUGAGACACGGCCCAGACUCCUACGGGAGCAGCAGUAGGGAAUAUUGGACAAGUGGGACGAAAGCCGUAGAUCCGAGCAAUGCCGCGUGAGUGAUAGAAGUCCGUUAGGUUACGUAAAGCUUACUUUACCGAG